rnacentral:rRNA from 1 species
UACGUAGGGGGCAAGCGUUGUCCGGAUUUAUUGGGCGUAAAGAGCGUGUAGGCGGCCAAGCAGGUCCGCUGUGAAAACUCGAGGCUCAACCUCGAGCUGUCGGUGGAAACUGCUUGGCUAGAGUCCGGAAGAGGAGAGUGGAAUUCCUGGUGUAGCGGUGAAAUGCGCAGAUAUCAGGAGGAACACCAGUGGCGAAGGCGGCUCACUGGCCCGAUACUGACGCUGAGGCACGAAAGCGUGGGGAGCAAACAGG